GAUGAAGAACGUAGCGAAAUGCGAUAAGUAAUGUGAAUUGCAGAAUUCAGUGAAUCAUCGAAUCUUUGAACGCACAUUGCGCCCGCCAGUAUUCUGGCUGGCAUGCCUGUUCGAGCGUCAUUUCAACCAUCAAGCCCCCGGCUUGUGUUGGGGACCUGCGGCUGCCGCAGGCCCUGAAAACCAGUGGCGGGCUCGCUGUCACACCGAGCGUAGUAGAUUUUCAUCUCGCUCAGGGCGUGCUGCGGGUUCCGGCCGUAAAAAGCCUUAUUUACCCAAGGUUGACCUCGGAUCAGGUAGGAAGACCCGCUGAACUUAAGCAUAUCAAUAAGCGGAGGA
rnacentral:misc_RNA from 1 species